GGCACGCGACGCUGGGGCUUGACGGCUGGGGUGUGUGGAGGCUCGACAGCUCGAGUGCCGCUAAGGCGCUGCGCUGAGGCCCUGGUGCGGUGGUGCUAGGGCUUGAUCGAGGCAGGUGGGGACUGCACGUGGUUGAGCUCGGGCACGACAACCACGAAGAGGAUGAUGGGAUCAGUGCCAAACCCUCAUCUUGCUUGGCUCCUUGAAGGGUAAGUUUGCCCACCUCUCCCUCACCAGUGCAUAGUGGGCUUUGGCUACUUGUGCUCCAUUAGUUCUAAUUGUAGAGGUGUCAUAGUUGGGGAAAAAUAUACAAUGUUCUUGGUGUACUAUAGAGGUAUUAGACUUCUGUUGGGUGGAAAAUACUAAAAUUCUUCUAGAAUCAUUGCAUAUUAUUUGCAGGAUGGAUCCUAAUUCUACCUACUUACUAGAAAUCAAACUUGUUAGCAACCAAAAGGCUAGGCCAGAGUUCAGUUGUUUUAGCUUCACAAAAGUUUUAGAUUCUGACACAACAAAUUUCAUAGACUUUGUUAAAUCGGUCGUAGAUAAGUACCCGCCAGACUAUAAGGAAGUUUGCAUUGUUUAGUACUAUGAUGCUACUUCGAAAGCCUUUCCACAAGUCAAAACAGACCAAGAUCUGCGAUCAAUGUUUGACAAACCUGCUGAGAGAAAGGAGGUGCUCAUGCUCAUUUCAUACUAUGAUCCCUCAGGACUAGCUCCACUUAUCACAAAGUGGUCCAUUUCACCACUUGAAAAGGGGUAUAGUGAUGGUCAUGAUGUCCCAUCCUAGCAACAAGAUGAGGAUAAUUAUCUAGUAAACCCAUUACUAGAUAAUGAGCAUGUGGGUGUUGAUGAGGAGUGUACGUACUUAGACAAGAAACCUUCAGAUGCUAUACUGGUUGCUACUAGACUUGACAAGGACAAUGUUCCAAUGGAGUGUUCUGAUUCUAGGUCUGAGUAUGAGGAGGAUUAUGAUUGUGGUUCUAAGUCCGAGUCAGAGGAAGAGGUUGAGGAGGAUUUGGUAGGAAAAGACUCUUUGCAAGAUGAUAUAGCAAAUGUUGAUUAUGAUUAAGAAGACCCACCAAUGACAGCAGGCAACAUAUAUCCUAAUAUUGAAGAAUUUAAGUUGGCAUUAGCUCAACAUGCAGUGAAAUAUGAGUUUGAAUAUAACACUGAAAAGAGUGAACCAGGGAGCUUCAGGGCCUAUUGUUCAAGGAAACUUGAAGAUAAUUGCCCCUGGAGAAUACAUACUUCUACAACAUAUGACAAAGUCACUAUCAAGGUAAUGACAUGCUUCACUUCUUCAUAUUUGUCUUAAUUGUAUUCCCCUUCUUUACACUUAUAAUUGUUCUAUUUCACAUAUGAAUGUGAAGAAGAACCCUUCAGGCCAUGAAUGCACAAGCACAAGAACUAAAAAGUUGAGGAAUACAACAAAAUAUUGGGUGUGUUAGAAGGUGAAAGACUGGUUCAUUGAAGAUGCAACUGUAGGGGCAAAUGAACUGCAGAGGAGACUUAAAGACAAACACAAGGUGAAGGUUCACUACAAAAGAGUCUACAUGGGUAAACAGCUAGCACUGAAUCAACUAUAUGAUGAUUGGGAUGGUAGUUUUGACAACCUGUAUAAGUUUAAGGCAGAAAUUGAGAGGUCAUCUUCUGGUAGCUUUGUAGUCAUUGAUCAUUACACCAUAAAUGACAAGAUUAGAUUUAGGAGGUUGUUCUUUGCUUUGAAACCAUGCAUAGAAAGAUUCAUUAGUGGCUGCAGGCCAUAUUUGGCAAUAGAUAGCACAUUCUUGAUAGGCAUGUUUAAGGGUCAGUUGGCUAUUGCUGUUGCUGUCGAUGGAUAUAACUGGAUGUAUCCAGUCGCUUUUGGUGUGAUGGAUUAUGAAACUAAUGACAACUGGAUCUGGUUCAUGUAAAGGCUUAAGGAGGCCAUAGGAUCACCACGUGGCUUUGCCAUAUGCACUAAUGCUGGACAAGCAGUGAUGGGAGGAGUCAAAGAAGUGUUCCCAAAUGUAGAGCAUAGGGAAUGCAUAUACCACUUGGUUCAAAACUUCAAGAAGAAGUUCUAUGGAAAGGUGUUUGAUGAUCAUCUUUGGGUAGCAACUUACUCGUGGCACCCACAUUUCUUUGAGAAACAUUGGGCUGCAAUGAAGAAUGCAAAACCAGCUGCAAUGGAUUAUUUAAGGAAGUGCUACACUAGACUAUGAACUAGAAGCCAGUUCUCAACCCUUUGCAAGGUGGACUAUGUGACCAACAAUUUAGUAGAGAGCUUUAACAGCUGGAUAAAACACUACAAGAGCUUGAACUUGGAUGACUUCAUGGAUAAGAUCAGACAAUUACUUAUGAUCAAGUGAGAACAAAUGAGAAAGGUUACCAUGAAGCUUAGAGGUCUGAUUCUGCCGCAUAUAGUUAACAGGUUGAAGGAAAGGAGCCGGGACUUAGACUUGGAAGUCAUGAAAUGCUCAGAUGAAGCUGCCGAAAUUUCUGUAAUGGGAGGCAAUGGCUUAAGAUUUGUGGUGAAGUUACAUGAAAAGACAUGUUCUUGUAGAGAAUGGCAAGUUUCAGUCAUCCCUUGUGUCCAUGCUAUAUCAUUCAUCACCUCCCUUAACAAUGUGCUUCUAGACAACUAUGUGGACUUGUUUUAUUCUGUAGAGAAGUUUCAAGCUACAUAUGCUCAACUAAUCCCUUGCUUUGCCAGACAAGUCACAAUGGCCUAAAUCUUGCUAUGAUUUCUUCAUGCAUCCACCUCUUUUGAAAGCCACAGCUGGAAGGAGAAAGAACCAGAGGUUCAGAGGCUGUACUGAGAGCAAGGGUACCACAACAAGGAAUCAAGUGUAGCAUCAAUGCCCUAUUUAUAAAGACUAUGGGCAUCACUGGAAGGUGACCUAGAGGACAUUACAGCUAUGAUGGCUAUAACAGGACCACCAAAGAAAAGGAAGAGGCCACUAAAGCAUCCACCGAGACAAGCAUGGUCACUUUUGAGGAUGAAGCACCAACACUCUCUAUGACUUUUCCACCAAGCCAAAACAUUGAACCUUCUACUAAGAAAAAAAAGGAAAAGUCGAUGCAUCAGAUUUCAGAAGAUCAAUCAGGUUAGACAAUGGUUCAAAUCAACCCGAGGCUCUUUCCAUUGAGUAUCCAGUGCCAAUGUCAGGUGAUGAAACACAAGCUACUGCUGCUGCUUCUGCUCCCACAGUAAGAAAGAAGAAAAAGGUUAAAGGGAAGGCAAAGAAGGUGAAUCCUGAGAUGCUGUGUGAUAGCCCUGCAAUGGGCACAGGAAGCAAAAAAACCAUAAACAACUAGCCCUACAAUGGCCACUAGAAACAAAAGAAGGCUCAGUUUAUGAACCUGAUGCAAUGUGUGAUGUCAGCUCCUUUUGCUUGGUGUGAGAAGCUGUCUAAAUAAUAUUCUAGUUAAUCAUUAUAUCGAUCAUUAACAUAAUCAUGACUACAAUGAUUAA